rnacentral:tRNA from 1 species
UCUAUUAUGGCAGAUUAGUGCAAUAAAUUUAAGAUUUAUAAAUAAAAUUUUAUAUUUUUAAUAGAA